AGAACAGGCAAAAAGUAGUUGCAAAUCCAGGGCCUACAGGCCCCAGCGAGUAGGAGGGGCGCGGCGGUGUGCGCGGAAGGGAAUGGGCGUGAGCCUGCCUGGAGCCGCCGUCGGUGCAGAUCUUGGUGGUAGUAGCAAAUACUCGAGCGAUAUCCUGGAGAUCUGAUGUGGAGAAGGGUUCCAUGUGAACAGCCUUUGCACAUGGGUCAGUCGGUCCUAAGCUGCAGGAGAAAUCCGGGUUUUGGCGAAUAGGCAUUUUAUGUUUUGUAUUCCUUUAGGAAAAUGUUUGCCUGUACAAAACCGUAGCAAGAGGGAAUCCGGUACUGAUUCCGGAACCUGGUCGCGGAUAACCCUUUUUUGAGGGAUAGUUGGGGUCCUCGUGAUCUACACCGUAAGGUGGCUAAACUCCGGGGAAGUCGGCUAUCGUCCCGGGCAGAGUUUUCUGUUCUGUAUAAGGGCCCGGAUCCCUGGAA
rnacentral:rRNA from 1 species